GGAUUUCUUGACACUAGUCUUUUUGUCUUUUUUGUCUACUUUCUUUCUUUGUCUUUGUUUUGUUCUCUCUUUCUGGGAUUUUGUCUUCAUCUUUACUUUAGGCGGACCAUGUGUGAACAGAAUAAGAUGAAGAAUUUGCAGAAUUUAAGUUUAGUUAGUGAAAUUAACCUUGGAUACUAUGAAUUGACAUUGCUUAUCAGAUUGUCUCUCUUAUGUGUUACGAAUGAUUUCGCUACAUUCUUGCUUUGAGGUGUUCAGUCUUGGCACAUGUCAUUAUAUAAUAUCUUAAGGCAAAAUUCGUUUUCUACUGUCACAAUAUAUUUGCAUAACUUGGUUGUUUCGUCACUCAAUGUCUUUCAUUUUUCUUCCUUUUGUUUUCCUUUUGAAGGAAGUGAAAGCUAAUAAGGAAUGUUAAUUUGUAGUUUGAUGGGUGAGACUGUUGUUGUUCUUUAGCUGUAUUUUGAUGGGUGGCCUGAUCAAUGAGGUUUCAGAGGAGUCUUGUCGUUAUGAUGCUUUAAUUCUUUUGCUAUUGAUGCUAUCAGUUCGUAGUCGAUUUUGUGUGUUCUUGCCUUUUACUCGAGUUUCAUGGCUUGAUCUGGUGUAGCUGCUGCAGCUGUGUUUUUGAAGUUGUUCUUUUGAGCUUUGGAGGUGCUGGCAGUGUUAUCUCUGCGAAGAGGUAGCUGUUGGGAUCGAUUAUGCUGGUUAAUUCUCAAGUUCCUUGUUGUGCCUCGCAAUUUCUUUCCUUGAUGGGUGGAUCUUGUGCUGUAUUGCAAGGUGAGAUAAAUGUACCAAGCAUUCCAGCUGAGCUACAGCUACCAAAUUCAGACAACACAUUGUAGACAGUUUCUGCUUGGGAAUUAAGUUUCCUGUUGAUCACGCUAUGCUGAGUGGUUUGUGUUGUGGAAUUUCAAUAUAUUUGCUGCUGUGGUCCGUUGUCUUGUGGCGAUGAAAUUAUAUGCAUUAUUUUCGACAUGUAAAGCUCAUAUCGUGGAGAGGGAGCUAUUACAGGACAAUCCUCCGGCUGCCAACAAUAGUCCAGGUUAUUUUGUUUACUGCUGGUGAUCAAAAUUACACGGAGAUCAAUGGAUAUGAAUAAUAACACUUUGAAUGAAGGUUGAAGACUGAGGUAUUUUUUCCUUUCCUACAUGCAUGUUAGCUUCCUUGUUCAACAAUCAAUCUCAAAGGUCAUUGGUGAUUUGAAUAUUUACAUUUACUAGCCAUGAAUAACACUUGUUGAUGAUUAUUUUUGUUUCAAACCUUGCUAUAUAAAUAGUUGAACAACGAAAUAAUUAAGUUGUUAAUGUUCUAUUUUUCUCUUUCUUGUUUGUAUAGUAUUAUAUAUUAAUGUGCUAUUUUGCUAAAUUGUGCUAUGUUGAGAAAUAAAAUA